rnacentral:rRNA from 1 species
CGCAUCUGUGCAUGCAGCAUAUCAAUAAGCGGAGGAAAAGAAACUAACAAGGAUUCCCCUAGUAACGGCGAGUGAAGCGGGAAGAGCUCAAAUUUGAAAUCUUAAAGGGUUUCCCUUUACGAAUUGUAGUUUAAAGAAGUGUUUUCUGUUGAGGUUUUGGUAAAAGUUCUUUGGAAUAGGACAUCAUAGAGGGUGAGAAUCCCGUAUUUGACCUUUACUUUCAACUUUGUGAUACACUUUCAAAGAGUCGGAUUGUUUGGGAAUGCAGUCCAAAAUGGGUGGUAAAUUUCAUCUAAAGCUAAAUAUUGGCGAGAGACCGAUAGCGAACAAGUACCGUGAGGGAAAGAUGAAAAGAACUUUGAAAAGAGAGUUAAACAGUACGUGAAAUUGUCAAAAGGGAAGCGUUUGACACCAGUGUUGUUUUUCUGAAAAUCAAUUAAAGAACUGUUUAUGCUAAGUUGUUUAGACUUUAUCAGCUAUCUGUUUAGUUUUGAGCUUUUCUUUAAUGCACUUUUCAGCUAACAAGUCAACAUCAAUUUCUUUUGCUGUAAAAAAGCUUGAGGAAGGUGGCUUGAGAUUCGUCUUAAGUGUAUAUAGCCUCUUGCCUAUGCAGUCGGAGAGAUUGAGGUCUGCAGCGUAGAUCCUUCGGGGCUAAAUGCAUUUGUGCUAAGUUAUAGCAUUUUAUAGACAACUUGUUGACUAUGAUUUGUCUUGUAGCUUACUCGCUUAUGUUAUUUUACCUACGCUUAGGAUGUUGAGUCAUCACACAUCUCU